rnacentral:rRNA from 1 species
UACGUAGGGGGCAAGCGUUGUCCGGAAUCAUUGGGCGUAAAGAGCGUGUAGGCGGCCCGGUAAGUCCGCUGUGAAAGUCCAGGGCUCAACCCUGGGAUGCCGGUGGAUACUGUCGGGCUCGAAUCCGGAAGAGGAGUGUGGAAUUCCUGGUGUAGCGGUGAAAUGCGCAGAUAUCAGGAGGAACACCAAUGGCGAAGGCAGCACUCUGGGACGUGACUGACGCUGAGACGCGAAAGCGUGGGGAGCAAACAGG